UACGAAGGGGGCUAGCGUUGCUCGGAAUCACUGGGCGUAAAGGGCACGUAGGCGGAUUGUUAAGUCAGGGGUGAAAUCCUGGAGCUCAACUCCAGAACUGCCUUUGAUACUGGUAGUCUCGAGUCCGGAAGAGGUGAGUGGAAUUCCGAGUGUAGAGGUGAAAUUCGUAGAUAUUCGGAGGAACACCAGUGGCGAAGGCGGCUCACUGGUCCGGUACUGACGCUGAGGUGCGAAAGCGUGGGGAGCAAACAGG
rnacentral:rRNA from 1 species